AUUGAACGCUGGCGGCAGGCCUAACACAUGCAAGUCGAACGAGUGGCGGACGGGUGAGUAAUGUCUGGGAAACUGCCCGAUGGAGGGGGAUAACUACUGGAAACGGUAGCUAAUACCGCAUACCAUCGGAUGUGCCCAGAUGGGAUUAGCUAGUAGGUGGGGUAACGGCUCACCUAGGCGACGAUCCCUAGCUGGUCUGAGAGGAUGACGAGGCACACGGGAACUGAGACACGGUCCAGACGCCGACGGGAGGCAGCAGUGGGGAAUGUAUGACAAGUGGCGCAGGCCUGAUGCAGCCAUGCCGAGUGUCGGAAGAAGGCCUGCGGUUUGUAAAUGUCUUUCGUCUAGUAGGCGGGACCGGCUGAAGAAGCACCGGCUAACUCCGUGCCAGCAGCCGCGGUAAUUC
rnacentral:rRNA from 1 species